UGAGCAACCUGCCCCUGGCUCUGGGAUAACUCCGGGAAACCGGAGCUAAUACCGGAUACGAGACCGAUUGGCAUCUUUACGGUCUGGAAAGUUUUUCGGCCAGGGAUGGGCUCGCGGCCUAUCAGCUUGUUGGUGGGGUAACGGCCCACCAAGGCGACGACGGGUAGCCGGCCUGAGAGGGCGACCGGCCACACUGGGACUGAGACACGGCCCAGACUCCUACGGGAGGCA
rnacentral:rRNA from 1 species